ACUCCUACGGGAGGCAGCAGUGGGGAAUAUUGCACAAUGGGGGAAACCCUGAUCCAGCCAUGCCGCGUGUGUGAAGAAGGCCUUAUGGUUGUAAAGCACUUUAAGCGAGGAGGAGGCUACUGAGACUAAUACUCUUGGAUAGUGGACGUUACUCGCAGAAUAAGCACCGGCUAACUCUGUGCCAGCAGCCGCGGUAAUACGGAGGGUGCGAGCGUUAAUCGGAAUUACUGGGCGUAAAGCGCAUGCAGGUGGUUUGUUAAGUCAGAUGUGAAAGCCCGGGGCUCAACCUCGGAAUAGCAUUUUGAAAACUGGCAGACUAGAGUACUNUAGAGGGGGGUAGAAUUUCAGGUGUAGCGGUGAAAUGCGUAGAGAUCUGAAGGAAUACCGGUGGCGAAGGCGGCCCCCUGGACAGAUACUGACACUCAGAUGCGAAAGCGUGGGGAGCAAACAGGAUUAGAUACCCUGGUAGACAUC
rnacentral:rRNA from 1 species